GGUAAAGCCCUGCCAUCUUAAUGAGAAGGAACACGAGGCAACAGGAUGUAAAAUGAUCUCUUAAGUCAGAAUGAAUCCAUGUUAGAACCAGUGCAGAAUGCUCAUUCUCUGGUCCUCCCAGGCCCUCUCCUUGCAAAGAGGGGCACCUCUCAUUAAGCAGAUGGUUGCACUUCGCUGUCCACCAAAGGCAGCCUUUUCAACUUAAAGCAAGAGGGAGUUAGACUCUGCACUACAUUUUCUGCAGACUUUUGAGACAAGUAGCUCUGAUGCCCUGUCACACCUGGGUUUCCCAGUGUUGACUACUUACAAAGGGCUUGAAAAUGAGAGGGAGAAAUGGUUGUAUAUGAAGAUACACUGAUCUUUACUUUCUUAUCACUGGCUGCCUUCAUAGGGAACUAGAAAUUUGAAGUUGGGAGCAGAUUUUCAGAGCAUUGUGCAUUGUGAUUACCCAGCCACAUUUACAACUAUGAUUUUUAAAAUAUUUUUAAGUGGUUCUUCCACACUGUCUUGAGGGAUCAAAGUAAAUAAAGUAAAUGUUUUGGUGGAUAUAAUACACUAUUGGGUCCCACAGCUCUUUAUUUCAAGAUUAAGAAGACUAAGUGAAAUUGUAAUCGGAAUGAAUCUGAAAAACUGGAAGGAGUAGGUUCUCUUAAUAAGUUGGCAGAUAGACCACGAAAUCCCAUCUGAAGAGCAGGAACAACUUGGCUCCUCAGCACUACCUUCAUUCAGAUUCAUGGAAGAAUAAAUCAGCAGUGUUUGAAGUGCCUCAGAGCAAGUAUGAAUGUGACAAGCACAGAAGAAUUAUUGAAGGCAGGAAUCCAGCUCCGGGUGGCAGAGUUACUGAAAUCUGCUUUAUUCCCUUUUGAACCAUUCAAAGGAAAAAAAGAAAGAAAAAUAUAGUAUAAGCAGAUGUUUCCUUUUCAAUGUUUUUAGCAAACACUCCGAGCAAUUGGACACAGCUGCGUUCCUUGGUCCGCACAGGCCGGCACUGUACUGCAGCUGGUGGACGGCUGCUUAACAAACAACUUGUGGGAUGCUUUCUUAUAGCUCAUCCGCCUCAGUCCUUGGGGAUUCAGGCUGCAAGCCUUGUGAGUUUUGAUGUCGCCAGGGAAGAGGAAGCUUCCAGCUCCAGCUUACAGGGAUGCAGUUAAAGUCUCAUGACCUUGGUCAAGGAAUCUAAUUGUCUUCCCAGCUGUCAUGGUGUCCUAGUAGAGAGGGAUUUGCACCCAGCCCAAGGAGAUCCAACCAGUCCAUUCUAAAGGAGAUCAGUCCUGGGAUUUCUUUGGAAGGAAUGAUGCUAAAGCUGAAACUCCAGUACUUUGGCCACCUCAUGUGAAGAGUUGACUCAUUGGAAAAGACUCUAAUGCUGGGAAGGGAUUGGGGGCAGGAGGAAAAGGGGACGACAGAGGAUGAGAUGGCUGGAAGGCAUCACCGACUCGAUGGACGUGAGUUUGAGUGAACUCUGGGAGUUGGUGAUGGGUAGGGAGGCCUGGCAUGCUGCGAUUCAUGGGGUCGCAAAGAGUCAGACACGACUGAGUGACUGAACAGAACUGAACUGUUUGGCUUCCUGCACGAUUUUUGAAAGUCACUAUUGGGUCGGUCUUGUUUAUCCUCCUUCUCUCGACUCUGGGUGGAUCUCAAGACUGUGGGGACAAGAAGUAUAUAUCCUCCCAUAAAGACUGAAGACCUUUGUCAUGACCUUUAUAUCAGAGACAUCCAUGAGCUUCCUUGGAGGCUCAGUGCUGAAGAAUCCACAUGCUAAUGCAGAAGACACAGGUUCAAUCCCUGGUCCCAGCAGAUCCCACAUGCCAUGGAGCAGCUAAGCCCAUGUGUUGCAACUACUGAAGCCUGAGCAUCCUAGAGCCAGUGCUCUGCAGCAAGAGAAGCCGCCACAAUGAGAAGCCCACUACAGAGUAGCCACUGUUCGUCACAACUAGAGAAAAACGCAAGCAACAAUGAAGACCCAGCACAGCCAAAAACAAAUUAAUAAAAAAAACCCUGAGAGACACAUCCUUAGCCCAAAAGACUUGGGGUACCUUGAAGGAGUAAUGAUUAUGUUGCCUUGACAUCCUACCCAGAGAGAUGAGAAAAACAUUCCUCUAGAAAGCUCAUGUGGCAGUUUGUUUUUUCCAAAAGUGAACACAAGAAUAUCUCUGGCCUCACAUGAACUUCGGAAAAGUUUUCACAUCUCUCGCAUGGAGUCUAUGUCCCCUUCCUCAAUACCCACCCCCACCCCAUGUUGCAUUUCUAGUUCUAGGAACUGGUCACUGAACAGGAGUGUCACUGCCCACGCUUUAUUCACUCAACUGUUUUAUUGUAAAAUGCCAUGUGCUCCGUUCAAAGGGCCUCAUUAUUAUCAGGACAGAACCACAAUGUUGCUGUUGGGAUUCAUGCUCUGUGAGAGCAGGCAGGGAGCAUUAGGAGCAGCCAUCCAUUUUAUAUAUAAAGACACCAAUGCCCAGAGAGGGUAAGUUAAUUGUUCAACUCACACAACUAGUAGCAUAAAACAGGGUCUUCAAUUCCAAGCUGUGCCAGAGGCAGCUUGUGCCAGCAUGCAAGGAUCAAUUUGGACAUUUUCAGGAAUUUUGCAGGUCUGUGACCAUGAUGGGAAUUUUUACACCAGGGGAAUUGGCAACCUCUCCAAUUCAGGGCUUUCCUCUCCUCUCCUUCCCCUGGAAAGCUAGCUGUUACGCGUUUGCCUGCACACCAUUGCCCUAAUGUUCUCUCCUGUCUUGAGAGAUGGAAUGGAGGUCCCCUGGGCUCUAGGCUUUUUUCUUUGUUGUCAGCCAGAUAUCCUGCCCUCAACAGGGUACAGUUCCUACAACAUAGGGCUUCCCAUCUAAGAUUCCCUCCAAAACCUGUGUCUCAUAGUCACCUGAGGAUCAAUAUAUUCAAAAUAAAACGCUUGAUUUCCCAGCUGCCUCCUCCAGCUUGCUCUCACCUCAACACCAUGCACCACUAUUCCCCAAAAGAUUCACCCUGGAAAACGGGGAGGCAUCCGUGAUUAUUCCUUUCUUUUCCUCAUAUUGUGGAUUAAAUUGUGCCCCCCUAAAGAUAUGUUGAGAAGUCCUAAGCCCUGGUACCUGUGAAUGUGACCUUAUUAGGAACAGAAUCUUUGUAGAUAUAAUUAAGAUGUAAGUCGAGACCAUACUUGUAAAAGACUUAAUGAACAGAAGCCUCAAUCAAAUGGAGUCAGGAGACCAGAAAGGGAAGCUCUGAUGCCCUGUGACAAGAGCAGAGCCCAACAGGAGGAAGAGUGACUCUCCUCUUUCCUGGGGAGGACUCAGCCAGUGAAAAGCCAUGGAUUCUUUGCUUGCUAUGACUCUCUGACAUUCCUCUCCUUCUCUAUAAAAGCUCUUUCCUGCUCUUGCACUUGGCUCAGCGUAGUUGCAGAACUGCAAUUCUCUGCUGAUCCUGAAUAAACCCAUCUUUUUGGAGACAUAUCUGGCAGUCUAUUUGACAUGCUAGAGUAGGGUAAAUGCUUCAUCCAGUAUGACUGGUGUCAUUAUAAAAAAAGAAGACGAGACAGAGAGAAACAUGGGGGAGAUGCCAUAUGAUGAUUGAGGCAGAGAUUAGAACAAUGUGUCUGCAAAGCUAAGCAGCAUCCAGGCCUGUCAGCAACCACAAAAGCCAAGAGAACAGCAUGGAGUAGAUUGUCCCCUAGAGCUUCAGAGACAGCAUGGCCUGCCAACACCUUGAUUUCAGGCAUCUAGCUUGCAAAACUGUGUGAGAAUAAAUUUCUGUUGGUGUUAAGCCACCUAAUUUGUGAUCGUUUGUUACAGGUCCUAGGAAACUAACACAUCUCACAGUCCCUGGCCUCGUCAUGUUUUUUCCCACCAGCAAGACCUAUCAAUUAUGUUUCCAAAUAGAACUCAAAUCUGUCUGCUUUUCUGCUGCCACAGUAAUUCAGACCACUCUCAUCAGCAGCAUGGACACUGCAACCAUCUCCUACCUGGUCCAUACUUGACCGCUCCAGUUCAUUCAGAAGGAUCCACAUAAACCCUUAGAUCACAUUACUCUCUACUCAAACAUCUGGUUCCCAUUGCUCUUAGCAUAGCCUCUGUGUCUUAACAUGGCUCACAAGAUGCUACCUGAGCUCCUAAUCUUUAAAGCCUCACCUUCUCCCUCUAUGCUCUAGCUAUUGUUUAUUUUUUAUUUGUUUAUUUAUUUAUAGUUCAUCAAAUUUGGCAAGUUCUUUUUCAUCUCAGGACCUUUGCCAGAAGUACUCUGCCUGGGGAACCUUCCACAGACUUCCUCCUAAUUAUUAUCUUUCAAUUGUCUGCUCCUUCUCACCUUUAGGUCUAUAAACCUUUCCCUCCAUCUCUGCUUUUUCCUUUCUCUGAUAGAUCGCAUUUUCAAAGAUAAUCAUAAAUAAGAUCCACAUAUCACCCACCUUUCGAUGGUCCAAGACACUGCGCUCUGAAGGCAUUCCAAAUAUCCUGAAAAAAGCGCCCCCAGGAGAAAUAAGCUUGACCACCAUACCAUCACCCAGUUUCUCCUGAACUCCGAGUCAGCCAUGAAG
ensembl:lncRNA